rnacentral:rRNA from 1 species
UACGUAGGGUGCAAGCGUUAAUCGGAAUUACUGGGCGUAAAGCGUGCGCAGGCGGCUUUGCAAGACAGAUGUGAAAUCCCCGGGCUCAACCUGGGAACUGCAUUUGAGACUGUAUGGCUAGAGUGUGUCAGAGGGGGGUAGAAUUCCACGUGUAGCAGUGAAAUGCGUAGAUAUGUGGAGGAAUACCGAUGGCGAAGGCAGCCCCCUGGGAUAACACUGACGCUCAUGCACGAAAGCGUGGGGAGCAAACAGG